GCCCCGCAGUUAUGCGGAGUAAGGGUGAAAAGGUGCGGUAAGAGCGCACCAGUUUCCCGGGUGACCGGGAAAGCUUUGUAAACCCCACCCGGUGCAAGACCAAAUAGGGAAGUGUUUGAGGACGGCCCGUCCAAGCUUCCGGGUAGGUCGCAGGAGAUCCCGGGCAACCGGCGUCCACAGAUGAAUGAUCGUUACCCGGUUUGGGGUAACCCUGACCGGGCACAGAAUUCGGCUUACGGGCUGCUUCGGCCG
rnacentral:RNase_P_RNA from 1 species